UAGGUUUUAUGGGUAUUAUGACACCUACACUGUGGGGCUCUGUGAAGGAAUACAAAAAUGAAGGUGCCUUGGCUCGUUGGCUUCAAAACAGCGUCCUCUGUUCGUAAUCUGUGUGUAUAUAUAUACAUCGUUGGGCGGAGCUCGAGACAACGAGGUACACUGUUUCUCAACAAGUGUUGUUGAGAAAGAGAGGAACAUUGACGGCGGUGGGUACGCACGCACGCUAUUGCAUACAUUGCUAUUUUUCCUAAUGGCAACGAAGGAAAAAAGGAAAUCGAUGCCGCAGGCUGUAUCAGCAAUCUACUCGUUGCCGACACCUCAGUGCUACAAUAACAACAAUAAUAAUAAUAACAACAACAAUAACAAUCGAGGCAGCGAGGUAAGCGAGAAUACGACCACCUCAAGCGCUACCGAAUCAAGUGGACCGGAAACGCACAUCAUCGGGAACGGUUGUGGAGUCAAUCCAACAGUGGGAAAUAACGGGAAAUGGGUCCGUUUGAACGUCGGCGGUACAGUAUUCCUCACAACGCGGCAUACCCUACUCAAAGAACAGACUUCCUUUCUCUAUCGGCUCUGUCAACAAAAGGACUUGCAUUCGGACACGGAUGAGACAGGGGCCUAUGUGAUAGACAGAGACCCCACCUACUUUGGCCCCAUCCUCAACUACCUGCGACACGGCAAACUAGUCUACAACAAGGAGUUGGCUGAAGAAGGUGUGUUGGAGGAGGCUGAGUUCUACAACAUCACUCCUCUGAUCAAACUGAUCAAGGAGCGGAUCCUGGAGCGGGACUGUAAAGUCACACAGCAGGUGCCUCCUAAACAUGUGUACCGGGUGUUGCAGUGCCAGGAGGAGGAGCUGACUCAGAUGGUUUCCACCAUGUCGGACGGCUGGAAGUUUGAGCAGGUCAGCGUACGCACCUGCAGAAAGCCCCGCACUGGACUGCUCUGGACUAUGGUGAACAUUGGUUCGUCAUACAGCUAUGGGACAGAGGACCAGGCAGAGUUUCUUUGUGUGGUGUCCAAGGAGCUACACACACCUGGCUCAGGCCUGGGCACUGAACAGAGCCACAAGACCAAGGGAAGGCUUCAGAGGUGCAGGAUGAGGAGGAGGAGGGAGGAGAGAGAAAUACCACCCUGAAUGAGUGCAUAAAGGAAUGACAGUCUUGUGUCAAUGUUCCAAGGACAUGAAUGGCUUUUUCACAUGCAUGGAUCCCGGAUGUACUAGAGAGAAAUGUAUUUUUUUAGCUUGACAUUCCAUUAUGUGUUUGUUUAUAUAUGUUGUAUUGUUGCUUUGGGGGAAAAAAAAACUACCAAUAAAUGCUCAAACAUUA